AUUGAACGCUGGCGGCAGGCUUAACACAUGCAAGUCGAGCGAGCGGCGGACGGGUGAGUAAUGUCUGGGAAACUGCCUGAUGGAGGGGGAUAACUACUGGAAACGGUAGCUAAUACCGCAUACCCUCAGAUGUGCCCAGAUGGGCUUAGCUAGUUGGUGGGGUAAUGGCUCACCAAGGCGACGAUCCCUAGCUGGUCUGAGAGGAUGACCAGCAACACUGGAACUGAGACACGGUCCAGACUCCUACGGGAGGCAGCAGUGGGGAAUAUUGCACAAUGGGCGCAAGCCUGAUGCAGCAAUGCCGCGUGUAUGAAGAAGGCCUUCGGGUUGUAAAGCACUUUCAGCGGGGAGGCGUUACUCGCAGAAGAAGCACCGGCUAACUCCGUGCCAGCAGCCGCGGUAAUUC
rnacentral:rRNA from 1 species